rnacentral:rRNA from 1 species
AUGAACGCUGGCGGCGUGCCUAAUACAUGCAAGUCGCGCGAACGGACGAGAAGCUUGCUUCUCUGAUGUUAGCGGCGGACGGGUGAGUAACACGUGGAUAACCUACCUAUAAGACUGGGAUAACUUCGGGAAACCGGAGCUAAUACCGGAUAAUAUUUUGAACCGCAUGGUUCAAAAGUGAAAGACGGUCUUGCUGUCACUUAUAGAUGGAUCCGCGCUGCAUUAGCUAGUUGGUAAGGUAACGGCUUACCAAGGCAACGAUGCAUAGCCGACCUGAGAGGGGGGUCGGCCACCCUGGAGCUGAGACCCGGUCCAGGCUCCUACGGGAGGCAGCAGGAGGGAAUCUGCCGCAAUGGGCGAAAGCCUGAGGGAGGAACGCCGCGUGAGUGAUGAAGGUCUUCGGGUCGUAAAACGCUUUUAGGGGGGAAAAACAUUUGUGUAAGUAACUGUGCACAUCUUGAGGGGACCGAUACAGAAAGCCCGGGCUAACUACGU